CAGGAGGUAGUUUAGUCUAAAAUGCCAGCUUUGGGAGUUGGAGAUGAAGGUUUGAUUCCUUUCUUCCUGA
rnacentral:tRNA from 2 species